rnacentral:rRNA from 1 species
UACGUAGGGGGCGAGCGUUGUCCGGAAUUAUUGGGCGUAAAGGGUACGCAGGCGGUCUAAGAAGUCAGAUGUUAAAGCGUAGGGCUUAACCCUAUAAAGCAUAUGAAACUGAUAGACUUGAGUAAAGGAGAGGAAAGUGGAAUUCCUGGUGUAGCGGUGAAAUGCGUAGAUAUCAGGAGGAAUACCGGUGGCGAAGGCGACUUUCUGGACUUUAACUGACGCUGAGGUACGAAAGCGCGGGGAGCAAACAGG